rnacentral:rRNA from 1 species
AUGGCACAAUCAAGUGGCAGUGAAUCCAGUGGUGGGGGAAAAGACAAUGAUGGCUCAACUCGUAUCCCCUUCACUCUUCAUAGAGUUUUUCGAGAUGAUGACACCAGUCUGUGUUCUCUCUAUUUGGAGAUGCCUUCUGGUAUGGAAGACAUCUCCAAAAGUUACGCUUAUCCAAAGGUUUUUCUUUUAGUGAAUGAUAAAGACAAAAGUCAAAAGGAUUGCCUAAAGAUGAUGCAUAAUCUCAUUCAUGAAAAUGUACUGGGAGUGAAGUUCUGGGAAGAGGUCGAAGGUGAACCAUACAUCCGGGUUUACGUCGAGCCAUACACUGCAUUUGUUUCAGAGCUUCUUAAGAAUGCUGAAUUUGCUGUGCAUCCAAUAAUACACUCGGUUCCAUCUCGGGAUUUUAGAAAAAUGGUGUGGGCAGCAAUAAAUGCCUUGGAUUACAUUAGAGAGAGUGGUAAUUACCAUGGCAACUUUUCAUGGAGAACUACGCUUUAUCAUGAGGCGAAUGGCAACAUUGUAGUCAAGUUAGCAUACUUUGAAAGGAAAAACUCCAAAACUCUGUUGCAAUGUCAAGCUGAAGAUUUCAUCUCUCUAGGAGCCUCUCUUGAGGCGGUAUCUCGACAUGUGAGGAAUAACUAUGCUAAAUUCCAGAAUCAAACUUGUUGCUUAAUAGAUGAUCUCGCAAGCAAGCUGAAGUCUGUUACCAAGUUUUCGGUUGGUACAGCGAAACAUGAUCUUGAAGAUCAUGAUUUUUUUUGGGAUGAGAAAAGGACGAAGAUGUUCUUUGCCUAUGAGGUACCCAAGAUUUUUAAGAAUGAAGCAGUUAAGAAUAGAUUUAGGGCGCUUCCAACUUGUCCAACGCUCCCAUGGAAAACAAAAUGGUCACCUGAUCCAUUAUCUGACCCAAUUCUCAUCGAAAUGGAGAAGUACCGUGCAAAACAUGGACUUGGACAGUACAAUGAAAAUAGUUUCGAAGACUUUUUAAGAUUUAUAAGCGGGAUGUACACACAUGAAAAUUUACUCAGGAAGCAGAUUGAAAACCUCGUCGUUGAUGCAGAAGUUCGCGUGAGGUUUCCUCGUCUAUCUUAUGAUUUAAAUACUAUCAUACGGGGUGCUGCGUAA